rnacentral:rRNA from 1 species
CGGGGUACUCGAGUGGCGAACGGGUGAGUAACACGUGGGUGAUCUGCCCUGCACUCUGGGAUAAUCCUGGGAUAAACUGGGUCUAGGGUAUACCGGAUAGGACCACACACUUCAUGGUGAGUGGUGCAAAGCUUUUGCGGUGUGGGAUGAGCCCGCGGCCUAUCAGCUUGUUGGUGGGGUAAUGGCCCMCCAAGGCGACGACGGGUAGCCGGCCUGAGAGGGUGACCGGCCACACUGGGACUGAGAUACGGCCCAGACUCCUACGGGAGGCAGCAGUGGGGAAAUUGCACAAUGGGCGCAAGCCUGAUGCAGCGACGCCGCGUGAGGGAUGACGGCCUUCGGGUUGUAAACCUCUUUCAGUAGGGACGAAGCGAAAGUGACGGUACCUACAGAAGAAGGACCGGCCAACUACGUGCCAGCAGCCGCGGUAAUACGUAGGGUCCGAGCGUUGUCCGGAAUUACUGGGCGUAAAGAGCUCGUAGGUGGUUUGUCGCGUUGUUCGUGAAAACUCACAGCUUAACUGUGGGCGUGCGGGCGAUACGGGCAGACUAGAGUACUGCAGGGGAGACUGGAAUUCCUGGUGUAGCGGUGGAAUGCGCAGAUAUCAGGAGGAACACCGGUGGCGAAGGCGGGUCUCUGGGCAGUAACUGACGCUGAGGAGCGAAAGCGUGGGUAGCGAACAGGAUUAGAUACCCUGGUAGUCCACGCCGUAAACGGUGGGUACUAGGUGUGGGUUUCCUUCCUUGGGAUCCGUGCCGUAGCUAACGCAUUAAGUACCCCGCCUGGGGAGUACGGUCGCAAGACUAAAACUCAAAGGAAUUGACGGGGGCCCGCACAAGCGGCGGAGCAUGUGGAUUAAUUCGAUGCAACGCGAAGAACCUUACCUGGGUUUGACAUGCACAGGACGUACCUAGAGAUAGGUAUUCCCUUGUGGCCUGUGUGCAGGUGGUGCAUGGCUGUCGUCAGCUCGUGUCGUGAGAUGUUGGGUUAAGUCCCGCAACGAGCGCAACCCUUGUCCUAUGUUGCCAGCGGGUAAUGCCGGGGACUCGUAGGAGACUGCCGGGGUCAACUCGGAGGAAGGUGGGGAUGACGUCAAGUCAUCAUGCCCCUUAUGUCCAGGGCUUCACACAUGCUACAAUGGCCAGUACAGAGGGCUGCGAAGCCGCAAGGUGGAGCGAAUCCCUUAAAGCUGGUCUCAGUUCGGAUUGGGGUCUGCAACUCGACCCCAUGAAGUCGGAGUCGCUAGUAAUCGCAGAUCAGCAACGCUGCGGUGAAUACGUUCCCGGGCCUUGUACACACCGCCCGUCACGUCAUGAAAGUCGGUAACACCCGAAG